rnacentral:rRNA from 1 species
GACGAACGCUGGCGGCGUGCCUAAUACAUGCAAGUUGAGCGCUGAAGGUUGGUACUUGUCCCAACUGGGUGAGCAGCGAACGGGUGAGUACUGCGAGGGUACUCUGCCUUUGAGCGUGGGACAACAUUUGGAAACGAAUGCUCAUACCGCAUAAAAACUUUAAACACAAGUUUUAUGUUUGAAAGAUGCAAUUGCAUCACUCAAAGAUGAUCCCGCGUUGUAUUAGCUAGUUGGUGAGGUAAAGGCCCACCAAGGCGAUGAUACAUAGCCGACCUGAGAAGGAGAUCGGCUACAAUGGGACUGGGAAACGGCCCAAACUCCCACGGGAGGCAGCAGUAGGGAAACUUCGGACAUGGAGGAAAGGCUGGCCGAGGAACGGCGCGGUGGUGAAAAAGGGUCUCGGAUCGGAAAACCCUGUUGGGAGGGAAGAAAGGGGAGGAAGGUAAAAAGCUCAUCAAGUGACGUUAACAACAGAGAAAGCGACGGCUAACUACGUG